UACAGAGGGCCCAAGCGUUGUUCGGAUUCAUUGGGCGUAAAGGGUGCGUAGGCGGCGCGGUAAGUCGGGUGUGAAAUCUCGGGGCUUAACUCCGAAACUGCAUUCGAUACUGCCGUGCUUGAGGACUGGAGAGGAGACUGGAAUUUACGGUGUAGCGGUGAAAUGCGUAGAUAUCGUAAGGAAGACCAGUGGCGAAGGCGGGUCUCUGGACAGUUACUGACGCUGAGGCACGAAGGCCAGGGGAGCAAACGGG
rnacentral:rRNA from 1 species